rnacentral:rRNA from 1 species
UUCCGGACCUUGUCAAAAUAUACAAGGCAGCCCAAUAUCAGGAGCUCAUGGAACUAUGGCACAGGGCGAUGGUAAAGUGCGCGCUGUUUAUUUUUCCUAUUAUGAUAUUUCUGUUUGUAAUGGCUCCUGAGGUUAUGCGAAUACUGUUUUCGGCAAAAUAUGAAGAUAGUGCAGUACCAUUUCGUGUUUACUUAUUGCUUCUUCCCAUUCGGAUUACGACCUUUGGGGCAAUAUUUAUGGCGGCAGGGAAAAACACUUUGAUACUUUAUCGUACAAUUGUGGGAUUAUUAUUAAAUUUAGUUUUAAGCAUUAUUUUAAUUAAAUUUUUUGGCGCUAUAGGUGCCGCUGUUGCUACAGUUAUAGUCAUAUAUGUUUGGAAUAUACCUUAUUGUUUAUUUUUCAUUGGAAAAAUUCUACAUACAGGAUUUUUUCGCAUUUUCCCUUAUCGGCGCCUUGCUAAUAUAUUGUUAAUUGCGGUUUUGCCGAGCAUCAUUUUAGGAGCUGGAUUGGUCU